UAGAAUGUUUUAACUUUUCGUUUUAUUUGAAUUUUUUUGUGAUUAAUAUUUUUAUUUUUAGUAGAUGAUAAAAUAUAAAUAGUACUUUAUGUGUGACUAAUUUUUUUAGUUUUUUUAUAAAUUUUUAAAUAAGACGAAUGGUCAAACAUUGGAUACGGAAA
rnacentral:pre_miRNA from 1 species